rnacentral:rRNA from 1 species
UGGGGAAUAUUGCACAAUGGAGGGAACUCUGAUGCAGCGACGCCGCGUGAACGAAGAAGGCUUUCGAGUCGUAAAGUUCUUUUAUAUGGGAAGAUAAUGACGGUACCAUAAGAAAAAGCCCCGGCUAACUACGUGCCAGCAGCCGCGGUAAUACGUAGGGGGCUAGCGUUGUCCGGAAUCACUGGGCGUAAAGGGUUCGCAGGCGGAAAUGCAAGUCAGGUGUAAAAGGCAGUAGCUUAACUACUGUAAGCAUUUGAAACUGCAUAUCUUGAGAAGAGUAGGGGUAAGUUGAAUUUUUAGUGUAGCGGUGAAAUGCGUAGAUAUUAAAAAGAAAACCGGUGGCGAAGGCGACUUACUGGGCUCAUUCUGAAGCUGAGGAACGAAAGCGUGGGUAGCAAACAGG